rnacentral:rRNA from 1 species
CGGGGGGGUAAGCGUUGUUCGGAAUUACUGGGCGUAAAGGGCUCGUAGGCGGCCAACUAUGUCAUACGUGAAAUCCCUCAGCUUAACUGGGGAACUGCGUCUGAUACUGGAUGGCUUGGAUUUGGGAGAGGGAUGCGGAAUUCCAGGUGUAGCGGUGAAAUGCGUAGAUAUCUGGAGGAACACCGGUGGCGAAGGCGGCAUCCUGGACCAACAUUGACGCUGAGGAGCGAAAGCCAGGGGAGCAAACGGGAUUAGAUACCCCGGUAGUCCCGGCCCUAAACGAUGAAUGCUUGGUGUGGCGGGUAUCGAUCCCUGCCGUGCCGAAGCUAACGCAUUAAGCAUUCCGCCUGGGGAGUACGGUCGCAAGGCUG